ACAUGAUAAACAUAUUUAUUACAAUAAUUAUCAAUUAGAAUAGCAUUUGAUUGUCACACAGAAUGUAAUCUUUAUAUAGACCUACAGCUUUAGACACUGCUCAGACAUUUGGUAUCUUUAAGGAAAUAUUUUCCUGCAUUUGAAAUGGCAGGCUUUGAAAAAGAUUUUUUUCUCUAUAGUUAUGAAAACCUGAUAACUGGUCAACUGGAGAAAAAGGAAGAACAGAAAAUUGCAUAAAUCCUUGUAACUAGAUAAGAUUAGUUACUCAAAAUGUGUAAAAUGUUUUAAGUGGUCUGUAGUUUGGAAGAAAACUAAUAACUCAGUAAUAGCAGGGAUUUGAGUAAUAAUAUUUCAGCCAAAUGUUCGAACUAUUAUUUUUUUCAGAUCCAGUUGACAGUCUUAAACAUGAUUUGAAAUCCAGGAUAAGAAGAGCGUUUUUUUCUAAGAAGGCAAUCACAGGUGCAAAUGAGGAGGACAGCAAAUACAACUGUGUGGCUGGGAAGUGUUUUUUAGAAAUGAUUAAAUGCACAUAUCCAAAGGCCAGCAGCAAAUAUCAAAUCUCAGGUGGAGAGCAAAGGCAGCUGAUCCAGGUCCACUGUGUAAUUGAAUUUGGUGUCUGCGCAACCAACUGUUUCAAUGCACAAGGACAUUUUAGUAGUGCUUGACCCCUGUAAUGUACAUGUACAGUAUAUAGAAUUUUUUAAUUAUAAUGUAAAUGAACACCUGCAGAAACUGAGGAAUUGGCCCUUUUUUACACUAUCCACGUAAGGCCCUACAUAAUGAAGAUUUGCCCUGCCACAGGAUGUCUGGUCAAGGUUUAGUUGUGUUGCAGUUGUACAAUGUCCAAUGACCUUUGCAUAUUUAGAUACAGUUGGGCUCCAUGUAUAAAUAGUGUUGCACACUUUACGUGUUUAUUUUAUAACAACACACAUUAAGUCUUUUCUAAAUUCUAAUUGUGAAAUUGCACCUUGGGCUUGGUAUGUUUUAUUAUUAUUAGCCAUAAUUAUUUUUCAUCUCAUAAUACUCAAUGUUGUUCACUACAUGUUGUUCAGAUGGAAAAUAAAUGUGCUACCUUAUGCACGUAGUGUAUAUCUAUUUUUAUUAUAGCACAAUUACUGUAGUAAUGUAUAGGACUGAAAUGUGAGUUAACACUCUAGAAUUAGUCAUCAGUUUAGUAAACACAAAACGUAAUUAUAAAUCAGAACUUUUCAUUUCAAGAGUUAGUUAAUGUUUGCUCUAGUGUUUAAUUAUAGAUUCUCUGACAUGUGUUUGCUUGAGAUGCAAACUAUUAUGAAUGUUGUAAUAGCUUUCUUCCUAGUUUUUUCUAAAUCUUUAGAUGCCAGUGGCCUCCCUGUGAUUGAUACUGGAUUUCUAA